rnacentral:rRNA from 1 species
UACGAAGGGGGCUAGCGUUGCUCGGAAUUACUGGGCGUAAAGGGAGCGUAGGCGGAUAGUUUAGUCAGAGGUGAAAUCCCGGGGCUCAACCUCGGAACUGCCUUUGAUACUGGCUAUCUUGAGUAUGGGAGAGGUGUGUGGAACUCCGAGUGUAGAGGUGAAAUUCGUAGAUAUUCGGAGGAACACCAGUGGCGAAGGCGGCUCACUGGUCCAUUACUGACGCUGAGGUGCGAAAGCGUGGGGAGCAAACAGG